rnacentral:lncRNA from 1 species
GAGUGGAUGAGAGCACAUGGAAGGCUCUAUUCCUGAGAGAAGAGAGACGAGAGCAGAGAUCUGAGGUCCUGGGGACUGCGUCCUGGGAGCAGGAGAGGGGAAGGCGGAGGUGUGAGCCCUCAGUCCCAGAUGCCUCCAGGCACCAGCCCAGCCUCCGUCUGUGUCUGUGUCCGUGAUGUGGAGAUUCCAGGGGGCCAACACCCCGAUGCUGGGAAGACUGCAGACGCCCGCGGAAGCCAAGAGCAGGAAGAGCGGCGGUGAGGAUUUCUCACCGCUUUGGGAGCAUAUUAAGGAUUUCAGCAGUAAAGAACAUUAAAGACGCAGAACCUCUCAGAGUUGAAUUGCUAAGCAGCAUCUAUAGGGUAAAAGUGACAGAAAGUAUGGGUGUCCUCGCACCAGCUCGGGUCUUUCACAGCCCUGCUGUGAACCGUGGCCUCUGCAAUGGCCCAGUCGGGGAGGUAAUUCCGCUUCUCCUUUGAGCCACUUCUCUUGAGUCCGGCUGUCCUGAGUGUUUCUGUGGGGACAGCAAGUGGGGGCUUCCCCCACUGCCCUGAACUCACCCAGAGGGAUGGACUGCUUUUGAAGGACCUGGAGGGCCUAUCCCCUUCUCCUUCAUCUUGCAUCCACUGUUUAUUCCUUGUCUUUUUACGUCUAACGGUGUUCACUGGGGUCUGGAGGGCAGGGGUGCAGCGGACAGAGGCCUAAAGGGCUGUAUGCAAACACAUUCAACCCGAAUGAACCAAAGAGAGAUAAAACAAACCUUUAAAAAAAAUGAACUCCCUUAAGAGAGUCCCCGGUGGCUCGGCUCUGUAGCCCUGGCUGCUUCUCUCAAGACCACACGCUCUGCUCGGUGGGAACAGAUGGCCUGCUGGAGACUUCAGGCAAACUUCCUGCUACUCUGCUGGGACCAUGUGGCCCUCCCUAGUCUCUGCCCGCUAUGCCAGUCUGGUUUGCAGAGUCUUGAGCCUACUGGGCUCCCAGUCCAGGCUAGAAGAGACCACAAGAGCCAGAGCCAGCAGGAGGAGUCUGGACCCCCUCCCCACCCACACCCCCACCCAGGACCCCUGCUGCCAGAGGAAGAGCAUCACCUUGUUAUGCGAAGACCAGAGUCAAGAAAGGCCUGGCCCCAAACCAGCCCAGACCCAGCAGGCCCUGCAGUGGUGGAAAAUGCCUUUCCCCCAGCUACCACCCACACAGAAUAGGCCAAUUCACCUGAAGAAACACCAGAACUACCCAGUUCCAAAUGCCCUGAAUGGCCAGGGCAUGAAGAGACUGAAUGGCCAGCUGGGCUCAUGCGCACCUAGGCAGAGGUGUCUUGCUGAACCACAGGGAUGCGGGAAGAGAGCCGAUGAGCUGAGGCGUGGACACACCGAGCAGGAGCAGCUGAUGUGA